UGCAAGUCGUACGCUUCUUUUUCCACCGGAGCUUGCUCCACCGGAAAAAGAGGAGUGGCGAACGGGUGAGUAACACGUGGGUAACCUGCCCAUCAGAAGGGGAUAACACUUGGAAACAGGUGCUAAUACCGUAUAACAAUCGAAACCGCAUGGUUUUGAUUUGAAAGGCGCUUUCGGGUGUCGCUGAUGGAUGGACCCGCGGUGCAUUAGCUAGUUGGUGAGGUAACGGCUCACCAAGGCCACGAUGCAUAGCCGACCUGAGAGGGUGAUCGGCCACAUUGGGACUGAGACACGGCCCAAACUCCUACGGGAGGCAGCAGUAGGGAAUCUUCGGCAAUGGACGAAAGUCUGACCGAGCAACGCCGCGUGAGUGAAGAAGGUUUUCGGAUCGUAAAACUCUGUUGUUAGAGAAGAACAAGGAUGAGAGUAACUGUUCAUCCCUUGACGGUAUCUAACCAGAAAGCCACGGCUAACUACGUGCCAGCAGCCGCGGUAAUACGUAGGUGGCAAGCGUUGUCCGGAUUUAUUGGGCGUAAAGCGAGCGCAGGCGGUUUCUUAAGUCUGAUGUGAAAGCCCCCGGCUCAACCGGGGAGGGUCAUUGGAAACUGGGAGACUUGAGUGCAGAAGAGGAGAGUGGAAUUCCAUGUGUAGCGGUGAAAUGCGUAGAUAUAUGGAGGAACACCAGUGGCGAAGGCGGCUCUCUGGUCUGUAACUGACGCUGAGGCUCGAAAGCGUGGGGAGCAAACAGGAUUAGAUACCCUGGUAGUCCACGCCGUAAACGAUGAGUGCUAAGUGUUGGAGGGUUUCCGCCCUUCAGUGCUGCAGCUAACGCAUUAAGCACUCCGCCUGGGGAGUACGACCGCAAGGUUGAAACUCAAAGGAAUUGACGGGGGCCCGCACAAGCGGUGGAGCAUGUGGUUUAAUUCGAAGCAACGCGAAGAACCUUACCAGGUCUUGACAUCCUUUGACCACUCUAGAGAUAGAGCUUCCCCUUCGGGGGCAAAGUGACAGGUGGUGCAUGGUUGUCGUCAGCUCGUGUCGUGAGAUGUUGGGUUAAGUCCCGCAACGAGCGCAACCCUUAUUGUUAGUUGCCAUCAUUCAGUUGGGCACUCUAGCAAGACUGCCGGUGACAAACCGGAGGA
rnacentral:rRNA from 1 species